rnacentral:misc_RNA from 1 species
AAAAGAAAAAGAAAAAAGAAAAGAUGUUGUCCCAUUACAGCCAAAUUUCGAGGCAUCAUAGAAUAAAGAUUCACGAAAGCAAUACAGCUAAAGUAGCAAUAAUCAGUAAGGAACUCACCUUGACAGUAAGACAGCACCUGCAUUUCAAGAGAAAGAAAUCAAAGAAUUAGCUUCUGAUGCAAUAAAAAUUAAAUGCAAUUCCUAAUAAUGUUAAGAAAACUUACUCAAUGAAAUUGUCAUAUUCAA